GACGAACGCUGGCGGCGUGCCUAAUACAUGCAAGUAGAACGCAGUUGCGAACGGGUGAGUAACGCGUAGGUAACUGCCUCAUAGCGGGGGAUACCUAUUGGAAACGAUAGCUCAUACCGCAUACUGUGAGCUGGACCUGCGUUGUAUUAGCUAGUUGGCGAGGUAAAGGCUCACCAAGGCGACGAUACAGAGACUACAUGAGAGGGUGAUCGGCCACCACGGGACUGGGACACGGCCCAGACUCCUACGGGAGGCAGCAGUAGGGAAUCUUUGGCAAUGGACGGAAGUCUUACCGAGCAACGGCGCGUGAGUGAAGAAGGGUUUUGGAUUGGAAAGCUCCGUUGUUAGAGAAGCGGUAACUAAACAGAAAGGGACGGCUAACUACGUGCCAGCAGCCGCGGUAAUAC
rnacentral:rRNA from 1 species